GAGAACCGUCGUUGCUCUGGGAAGUAUCGGAAGGAACCCUGAAGACAUGCUCCCUGUCAAUAUCUAGUUGGCUUUUGAUAAAAUACAAAACAGAAAAUUUUUUUUCUCUCAUGUUCUUCUUCUCUCUUUCCUCUGUCGACAAAACGCGUGAGCUUUUUUUAUCUCCUUCCUUAUCUCUACUCUCAUUCACCUUAAAACCACCGUCUCCCUCCGCCACGCAGCAGCAAUUCACGUCAUUCAGAAACGACGGAGAUAUCGCUUUUUGUGCAGAGUAAGAGCUUUAUAUCAACGCAAGGAUGGGACUCGGAUACGGUGGUUGAUUACAGGAUAAACGAAGACGAGUUCCAUAAAAUCAGCUUGAUGGACUGUGAUUUCUUUAUCAGAAAACCGCCUGAUCUCUAACGAUGUUUAUGAUUUCAGGGAGAUGCAGAUGUAUGUUACUCCUCCGGAUACAUAUAUUUUUACUCAAUUCCCAGAGUUCUUGCUCCAAUGCCUCAAAACGUUAGUCAAUUCAUCCCAUUCACCUUCACUCUACCUGCUACGAUUAUCACAGACAGAGAGAUAGGGAGGUCGAGGUGUUUUGGUUUUGUCAGCUUCAGCUGUGAAGAUUCUGCAAACAAAGAGAUAGGGAGGUCGAGCCAUGGCUGGGUUGUUUUUAAGCUUGAUAUAGAUCUUAACUGUAAAAAUGUUGUGACUUGGCUAUAUACAAUCUUAGGUCUAUGGUUGGGGAAGAGGAGAACAUGGAAGGCUCGGGUUAGGUGACAAUGGCAGAGGUGACACUAGCAAACCUUGUAGGCCAAUUUGACUGGUCCAAAUGGGGUUGAAGAUCUUGCUAAAGCCAUUGGUAUCGAUGGAUAUAUGCGGCAAGUUUCCUCUCAUUGUGUUUCCAUCUUCUGUUAUGUAAACUGCUUUCUCUUUCACCUUGUUUUGUAACACUACUAAGACGAUUUGUAAGAAUUGACAACCCUUCAUUUUGGAAUAUAAUUAAGCAAUUGUUUUAAAAAAAUGAAUUAUGAGGA